AACCACUCCGACGAACAAGCGCACGGAUAUCGUCUGCAAAGCAAUGCCGACUUGCUUGAACAUGUGGGGAAUGAGAGCAUAAGGUUUCAUACAGUGUAUGACAUACCAGCAGCUAGCUGCAUCUGUACACGGUUUUCGGUCAGAACAGAUAUGAUCUCUAGAUUCAGGUAAGUCUUAAUAUUUGAACUCUGCUUAGAAUCAUCACUUGGUCUUCCAAUCCAGUCAGUUAUAAACAGUGACAACACACCUUAACACAAUAUUAACCUCUUAAAAUUACUGAGGCAAAAUAAAGCUACCUUCCAUUUAAUGUACCAAGUGAGUAUUAUGACUAGUACUAGGGUUCUAAUGUUUCAGAGAAGAACUUGGAUUGUACGGGGAUUGUCCAUUUUUCAAAAUAUGCACCUCGCAUAUCUGAACAAAAUCAGAUGCCCUGGAACCUCUUCCAUGCAUUCCUGAACGAAGGAAUAUAGAGUAGAAAGGCUAUACAAAAUGAACAGAACUAAUUAAUGGUUAUUGCAAUUUUAGUAAUAUUAGAAGUAUUUAAAAAAAAAUAUUUGACAGGCUUUUAUCACAUGGCCUCAUUUAAGCCAGCAAGGUUUUGUCACACAAAUUACAUUUCUGUGAACGACCCACUAAGGAGGACAUGUAAGGCAGGAAAUUAGAGUAACAAAAUUGAUCUUGUUCUGUACGUAUUACUGUAGUAGUAAUGAUACCAAGAGUUGACCAUUGGUCAGAUAUCAAAUUUCUAAUUAGUCACAGAACAUAGUAAUUUGUACUUCAAAUACUGUGAGCCAAUAAACCAUAUAUGGCACCCAAGAAGAUAGGGGAAAGGCUUCAGGAAAUACAGAAGCAGACCAAAAUGAGCAAGGAAGCAAAAAGAAAAAUGCAUAGUGAGCGAUUAUCCAGAGAAAGAGGAACCUGACAAAGGAAUUACUGGGUAUGGAGGUUUAAGAGGAGGAAAGCACGGGGAAUUAAGGCAAAGAAAUGUUUAACCCAAAUAUGAAGAAUACUCUAGAGCAGCCUUCAAUCUAUUGCUCCCUAGAUGUGCCUCCUGUCCUCCAAUGAAGGCAGAGCACAAUGGUGGCAGUCUGAAUUAAAGGGGACAGCAAAAGAAAAAUGCAAGGAAGCUGCUCAAUAAGCAGAGUGGCUAAAAUAAAUGUAAUAAACUAAGGUGUAUCCUGAAAAGCAAUGUCCCAAAUAGAAGUGACUGCUAAAACGGAAGAAAAUGCAAUUUGGAGGGGGGGGGGGGGGAGCUUGGUAAAACUCCUCGCCAUCUCAGUGGUGUGUUGCUAAUCCUUGAUCUGGAAAUUCUGCUAUUUAUUGCUUCCGCUGUCACCAUAGCCUUGCAAGUAAAGGGAAGAUGGGAGACUAAGAAGGCACAUAUGCUAAGCAUUUCAUAUAAUAAUUUAAAAUAAUCAGAUAUAUUAUUGACUGCAAGUUUUGAUUCUAGAAGUAGGACCAUUUCCUCUUGUUUCAUAAAAAUGAAAGGUUAUCAAACAUGGAAUUCUAUGCAUUUGGCUUGUUGGAAAUGUUGCACAGACCUGACUGGUUAAGCAAUUCUUUGUGAACAAUCCACUAAUUCCUUUUUAAGACAUGCUACCACAGCAUGAUCAUUCAAACCACAAACUCAGGAGUUUUUCUUUUAAGUAAACAAAUCAGCUUAUUCAGUAAUUUA